UGUUAGAGCGCACCCCUGAUAAGGGUGAGGUCCCUGGUUCAAGUCCAGGAUGGCCCA
rnacentral:tRNA from 1 species